UACGUGAGUCAAAUCUGGCGCGUCCUAUGGAAAUACACACUAUUUUAAGUUCUGCGCCUAAUGUUUCCCUCCAGACGCCUCUCUGGGCCCGCACAAGGCUGUCCGCCACUCUCCCACACCCUGCCGCAUCCUCAGUUCUCACGCUGAUGCUCUAGUGAAUGGAAAUACUGUGUGACACUAUCUCCUUUUACGACGUGCAUCAACCAUCGUCCAACAGGCCAGCUACUACAUCAUUAACUACCCCAAAGACCAAGAAAUUAAGUGUAGUGUUGUCGGCUGGCAAGCAGACUAUUGCUGAACAGCUUGGACUUCCAGAACCCCCCAAACGACCCUUAGCACCACACUUACGAUUCAUGAAACACUUCCUCGAGGAAAAUAAAAGAAAGUUACCCAAAUGGUCAACACAAGAGAUAUUUGUCAAAACAGUACAAGAUUGGAAAACUAUCAGUCCAAUCGAAAAAGGCAAAUGGACGUCAGAAUACGAAAGAGAGAAAACGUUAUACGAUAUCAGGUAUACUGACUAUAUGAAGAAGAUCUCCCCAAAGCAACUGGAGAGCAUAAGAAAUCUAAAGAAAAAACGCUCCGAGGAUAAGAUUAAACGUCAAUUACGCCGGGAGAAGAAGAAAGAGGUCGAAGAACUAGGGAAGCCAAAAUAUCCCGGUAAUGCCUUUAUACUGUAUGUGUCGACGCUGGACAGAGGAGAAGCAGCAUCUAAGGACUUUGUGUCGGGAGCAGCAAGACAGUGGCACUUGUUACCAGAGGAAAGGCAGAAUGUAUUUAGAGAAAAAGCCAAGAAAAAAUUAGAAGAGUAUCAGCGUGAACUUGCAGAGUGGGAAGCUAAAAUGUUGAAAGCCGGCAGAGUAGAUUUGGUUCGUAGCAGUCAGCUUGGGCCAGAAUUGAAACAAGACCUUCAGUCUCGGAAACAUCAGCACUAGGGACACGCAUCAGGUGAUGGUGAAGUAGAGUUUUUCAAAGCUGAGGUUGACUCUUUACCAGUUUCCCAGGAGGGGGUAGGACAUUCUCUGCAGCAGGAACCCGAUAAAGAAAGACAUAGUCAUAAAGCAGCAGCUGAGUCAGGGAGGUAUGGGAAAAAAAUCAUAUCAGGGUUGUUAGCAGAACAGAUGGGAGAUGAAACAGUUUGUAAUAUUUCUAGUGUGGAGUUGAGUAAGAAAGUAAAAAAAGAAAAAAGGAAAAAAGGUGAAACAAAGGAGAGGGAUAAAACUAUCUUUGUUCAAGAGGGCAUAAUUCAAGAGUUGACAAGUCCAGAAAUUCACAAUUCAAAGCCAUUGUCCACACACAGGCAGGCAGUAGCUAGGCAAGGGGAAGAUAAUGUGCAGGCUUUUGGACUUUCUACAUUAUCACCUGAAAAAGUUAAUAGUGUUGUAGUGAUAACACAUAAGAACAGGAGCAAAAACAAUUGUGUUAGUUUAGGUGCUAUUUAUGGUGUGCCUCUGAUAUCUGAAGGGACAUCCAGUUUUCAAUGUACUAAUUGCAGCUUUUUAUUAAAUGCAUAUUGCAAAUUUUGUAUAGAUAUUGGCAAUUUCAGUGAACUUGAGGUGGCCAAGUUUACAUAUAUGUAUGUUAAGAGACAGGCGUUGUUGACACAAAGUACUGGAUCUCAGGAUGAGGUGUUUCUCAAAGACUAUUUUAAGAAUUUGCCAAAGACUCCAGUGAAGCAUUGCAUAAGUGAGAAUGAGACUGACUUGAAGAAGGAGAACAAGGCAGAGCCGUUACUUUUAAGUAACAGUGAGCAAGAAGGAUCACCAGCAGAGUCUCCUGAGGCAACAGUGCAGGAAACUGGUCAGGAGGAAGGUCUUGACACAAGGAAAAUUACUUAGUUGGUGGUGGUUUCUGGGGACUGGCUGGGCCGACUUGUGGACCUGGAUAGAUGAUGUUCUUGCAGAAGUCUUUCCUCCUCUGCCGGGUGUCUCACCCCCAAACUCCCCACAAGACAGUGACUAUUUACAAGAUGAAAGUUCCUCUACUCAAGAGUACCAUAGUCUACAUGAUCCUAACUCAUCAUUAUUAAAAGUGGAAACCACUUCUCAAAUAUUACCCAAUGUGGAUGUCUCGAGUACAUCAACUCAGUCAUCUCCAGCUCUGGAUACGUUUAAACAGUCAUCACCAAAUAUAGUUGCCACCAUCCAGUCAUUCACAGAUCAGUAUCACCUCAUUCAGUCAUCCACAACUAGAAAUAACACAAUCCAUUCAUCCACAGAUCAGAAUAACCUCAUCCAGUCAUCCACAGAUCAGGAUCACCUCAUCCAGUCAUCCACAGAUCAGGAUCACCUCAUCCAGUCAUCCACAGAUCAGGAUCACCUCAUUCGGUCAUCCACAAGUGGAGAUAACACAAUCCAGUCAUCCACAGGUAAAGAUAACACAAUCCAGUCAUCCACAGGUAAAGAUAACACAAUCCAGUCAUCCACAGGUAAAGAUAACAUAAUCCAGUCAUCCACAGGUAGAGAUAGCACAAUCCAGUCAUCCACAGGUAAAGAUAACACAAUCCAGUCAUCCACAGGUAAAGAUAACAUAAUCCAGUCAUCCACAGGUAGAGAUAACACAAUCCAGUCAUCCACAAGUUAGAGGUAACACUUCAGUCAUCCACUGACCACAAUAACACCAUCCGGUCAUCCAUUGAUCAUAAUAGCACCAUCCAGUCAUCCACUGACCACAAUAACACUAUCCAGUCAUCCACUGAUCACAAUAACACCAUCCACAGGAUGGUGUUAUUGUGAUUGUGGAUGACUGGAUGGUGUUAUUAUGAUCAGUGGAUGACUGGAUGGUGUGAUUGUGAUUGACUGGAUGGUGUUAUUGUGAUUGUGGAUGACUGGAUGGUGUUAUUAUGAUCAAUGGAUGACUAAAUGGUGUGAUUGUGGAUGACUGGAUGGUGUUAUUGUGAUCAGUGGAUGACUGGAUAAUGUUAUUGUGGUCAGUAUCCAGUCAUCCACUGAUCACAAUAACACCAUCCAGUCAUCCACUGAUCACAAUAACACCAUCCAGUCAUCCAUUGAUCACAAUAACACCAUCCAGUCACAAUAAAACCAUCCAGCUAUUCACACAGAUAUUGAUACAGUACUUCCAUACAGUUAAUGGGUCAUUCAAACACCACAGCCACACGAGGCCCUGAACUAGUUCUCAGCCGCGUCCCAGAUUGAAUAUACAGUAUACCUCAGGCACUUGAAAACAACAUCAUAGGUAAUCAAGCAAAACAAAUUUAAGAUCUGAGCACCUGUCAUUCUUUAUAACAUCAUAGUUCAUCAUUUUCUAAUCUUGAUUCAUUAUGCUAUAGAUUGUGACUAACAGAUUCUUUAAACAUUUUCAUUUUAGUUUCCUUUUUUUUAUGGUUUAAUCAUAUUAAUUUUAAUUUUGUGUUCAGUCCCCGUAUUAUAAUGUAAUGAAACCCAUGUAUAGUACUUACCUGAUCUUUAAGUUUGGUAUUCUCCUCUUUUAAAAUUAAAAGGCAAAAUUAUUUCAGAAAAAUGUAUACAUACAGUACAGUAAAUUCUGUUAUGCCAGUGGUGAAUGAUUCUUAAACACUUCCUUUGGAUGUUGGAAUGAAGUUGUGUUGUGUUUCCUUCGUCUUUCAUCAGGUGUUUUAGUUGGUGGUGUACCUCCAUUACUUUUUUCUGAAAUAUAACUUUUAGUCUACACCAGGUUAUUAUUAUUUUUUCAUUUAGGGAAGUAUAAAUCAUAAUGCCAUCCCUCAAAACAUUCAACAUUUUAUUAUCUAUUAAACUCAUGCAUUAUUUUGUCUUAUGGCUAGCCCAUAAAUGGGAUGCCCCCAGUUGACCCACCUGGUUGGUCAUCAGUAUGCUGUAUCCACACUGCUUAUAAUGGGCCAGCAAGCAUGACACCCAUAUUCAUGCAAAAAAUUACUUUCUUCUUUAACCCCUACCCCCUGGGCUAGGGUGCUACUGACCGUAUCCCCUAUGUGGGUUAAAUCGAGAAAAAUCAACUUUUCUUAAUUUUUUUUUUUUUGGCCUUUUUAAAUGAUAAAACAAUCAAAAACAAGUAAGAAAAACUAUAUAUUGACCCUCUAGAAACUUCCCUGGGGCCACAGUGGUAAGGGAGAUAUGGGGACAGUGUUGUUUUGAUGGCUCGCACUCGUGGUCACUACGCACUUAGCGGUAAUUUUCUGUUUGCCUUUGUGUCCGGGAUGGCCAGUAAUGCAUACCGUAUUUUGCGGCGUAGAAGACGCACUUUUUAUUACGAAAAUAUACCUUGAAAAUUACCAUGCGUCUUCCAAGACCCUAGUUGAUGGAUUGUAGCAGAGGUUUUCUUAGGGUCAACUGAAAUCAGCCCCUUACAAAGACUGUUACCUAAUAUUGUUGAUACACUGUGAAAAAUACGAUUUACUUAGUAGGUAAAAAAUUAAAAAUAAACGGCUGCAGCUACACAACCCUUGCUGCUGUGCGGUUUGUUUACUAAUGGCAGUGGUGUGACAGCGCCAUCUAUUGAGAAAUUGCGAAAGGUUGUCUGCUGGUCUCAAAGCACAGGAAUUUUUUUUUUUCACUUGAGUGAAGAACAUAAACACUUUUUUUCUUUAGACAUUGAUAUACUUGUUUACAUUUGCUUACCUUCUACUGAUGGAAAAUAUUUCUCGUCAUUAUCAUAUCGACAAAAUCAAGAGAAAGAAUGUAAACACUACAGCCCGCUAGACGUGGAGGUGACCAGGUGUAGAAAAUAAGUGCUAUAUUAAAGAUUUCCACUUAAACAGAUUUUGUAUUAAAAAUUGAUGAAAAUGACGACUGAUAAGUAGUUCUAAGUGAUGAUAUUCAAAGAGGUGCGUGUACUUGUGCAAAAAGGUCUGUAUGUCAAGCAAAGAUUUCACUGGUGUCGGUUAGUAAGAAUAAAAGUUUUUUCCUGGAAUUACAUUUCCAAAAUCGGGAGCGUCUUCUACGCCACAAAAUACGGUAUAUAUUUACUGAUCAUAAUACAUAUUUCUUAUAAAUAAUUAAUUUAGAAUAUUUAAUUGCAAGUUAAGAGCAAGUUAUGCAUACAAAUAAUUAUCGGAAUAAUAAUUCCACAAAUAAAUACAUUUAUAACAUAAUCAUAGCAUUAUUUUCCAGUAAUACUACACUACUUUUAGUGUGAGAGGUUGAGGUACGACUCUCCAUGGCGACAGGCUAAUGUGUACUAAACGUACUGAGCCCACCCACGCUACCCUGUGUGUGGAGUGACCACCAAAUAGUCAUGCUGGAACCUUGUAACCUGCGCUGGGCAUUCAAACAAUGCCGUGAAAGGGCGCUCGUUCCACAAUGUCAACUGGGGCGUAGGGGUUAAUUGGUUUUUCUCCUGUGUGAAAGUCUUAAAUCAUUACAGCACAAUACUAUGAUAUAACUUUUUUUAGUUUCUAAUUUAUUCUCCUUUGUUUAUUGAUAGAAGACAGCUCUUACCAUUACAAAAAUGAGGAGAGUAAACUGUCAGUGAUAAUUUAUAAAAGAAAAUGGUACAGUAGAUGAUAUAUUUGUUACCAUAUAUCAUUCAACACAACUGCUUUUCAAGUCAUUAAAUUUACCACCAUGAAACACAUUGUUACAAUGUAAUAAAGAGAAAGCAACUUUAAGAGAAAUACAAAUGAUAGCCAACAGCAAUAUAGCAAUGAGUCCCUUCAAUGCUGUUUGCCAGUAUGGAAGAAGAUAAAGACUAGUAAGGUAAGAAUGGAAAAAAUAAGGAUUAAGAAGUUAUUACAGUACUGUAUUAGUGUUUAUAUUAUUCAACUGGCACAAACAAAGUGAGACAAGUGAGGUUCUGGUGAAUCCAAUAUUAUGUAAUAAUUGCAGUGCUUCCCACUACUGUACAGCACUUUUACUUCUGUUAUUGACUGAUUCCACAUAAAAUUUACUACAGUACUGUACUGUACAGUAUUAAAGAAUGAGUACAGGUAUCCCUCGUUAUCCUAAUGGGUUAAGUUACUGGAAAACCAUUUGUAUAGCGAAUAACAGAACAAUUGGGAAAAAUAGAGUCCAGUUCCCAGUGACAAGAAAACUUCAAUAUUAUACCUAAAAGAAUUAAAUCGGUUCACGGACAACAAAAAAACUUUCUAACUACUGUAAUUUAACACUGUACCUAUCUGGUAAUUGCUAAACUAAAUAAAUUGUACUGUACAGUUGGUACAUUUCCUUAUUGGAGGGCUGUCAGGACUUGCCACAGGAUGAAGUACAAUAUAGGGUGGGCUGAUUUGAAUUACAAUUUAGUGAAUUUGAAUUUUCAAUCUAUCUUUUGGAUAAGCGAGGAUUGCUUUUGAAUAAUGAAAAUAAGGCGCAAAAUAAAAAUUUGGGAUAAUGGGGGAUACUGUAGCUGUAUUUUGUUUCAAUAGUCUUAAAAGAUCCAUCUGAUAAUUUUGUUUGCACUAUUUUGUAAAAUCCUGGUUUUCAAUUUCAAUUCACUUUUGCACAUCAAGUUUAUUGAGUCCUUUGAUUAAUUUACGUAUUAUACUUAAAUGAUAUCUCCUCUUAUUCUCAGUUUUUUUGAGUCAAGAUAAGUUGAGAAUGCAAAUUGAUUCUUAUGUUUACAAUCAAGAACUGUGUGCAGUAUAUUAGGUGAAUGUUGGGAGGCUUAAAUUAAAAAAAUCCACUGUUGAAGGACAGUGUUUGUUAGGCCUACUUUACUGCUGCUGUUCAAUACUUGUUGGGCUUCAGGGUGUUUGAUAAUGCUUCCUAUAUGUUUUUCCUAUGUUACUGUACUUUGGUUUUCCAUAAAGUUUGCUAAAGUUGGCCUUCAUGUCUGUUUAAAAAUGAUAGUGAUAUUUUCAUUGUGCUGAACAUACAGGAACCAUUCAUGUGCAAUCCCAUCCUGAAUUUUAUCUUGAAGAUCAUUUCCACUGAGUUUUGUCAAUAUUGGAUUUAAAACAAGAGACUUACUGUGCUUAAGAGAGAGACCCACACACAUCCCGACAGUUUUCCAUUGAGAUUAAGGGAACUCUUGUGGGUCAGUAAAUUCAUCUAAGCCUUUGAGAAUUUUAUAUUAGUAAUCAGAUAAUGAUUAUUGUACCAAGUUUUGACUCAACUUAAAGUGGUAGGAAUAUAUAGUACAAGAAUGUAUCAGGUCUGUAAGUGUAUAGACAGACAUCAGUGACAUCUCAAUAAAUUUUGUUAUAAAUUCAUUCUCAUGAGACUUAGCUGAAAUGUUCUCUUAAGAUUAUGAAUGGGAUAAUGCUGAAGUGACCACUGAUUAUGUGAAGCCUUUCUGGAGUAAUCAUAAGAAUACAAAUGUCACUACCACGGGACUUGAAAUAAAUGUUUGUAAAAAUGUAUAUAUGACCUUGUGAACACUACAAAUAUUGUUUUUAUUUUUUAUGAUAAUAAUUGAAGAAAUUAUAAACAAAAUAUAGUGUUCAUAUAAA